rnacentral:rRNA from 1 species
UGCAGUCGAGCGGACAGAAGGGAGCUUGCUCCCGGAUGUUAGCGGCGGACGGGUGAGUAACACGUGGGUAACCUGCCUGUAAGACUGGGAUAACUCCGGGAAACCGGAGCUAAUACCGGAUAGUUCCUUGAACCGCAUGGUUCAAGGAUGAAAGACGGUUUCGGCUGUCACUUACAGAUGGACCCGCGGCGCAUUAGCUAGUUGGUGGGGUAAUGGCUCACCAAGGCGACGAUGCGUAGCCGACCUGAGAGGGUGAUCGGCCACACUGGGACUGAGACACGGCCCAGACUCCUACGGGAGGCAGCAGUAGGGAAUCUUCCGCAAUGGACGAAAGUCUGACGGAGCAACGCCGCGUGAGUGAUGAAGGUUUUCGGAUCGUAAAGCUCUGUUGUUAGGGAAGAACAAGUGCGAGAGUAACUGCUCGCACCUUGACGGUACCUAACCAGAAAGCCACGGCUAACUACGUGCCAGCAGCCGCGGUAAUACGUAGGUGGCAAGCGUUGUCCGGAAUUAUUGGGCGUAAAGGGCUCGCAGGCGGUUUCUUAAGUCUGAUGUGAAAGCCCCCGGCUCAACCGGGGAGGGUCAUUGGAAACUGGGAAACUUGAGUGCAGAAGAGGAGAGUGGAAUUCCACGUGUAGCGGUGAAAUGCGUAGAGAUGUGGAGGAACACCAGUGGCGAAGGCGACUCUCUGGUCUGUAACUGACGCUGAGGAGCGAAAGCGUGGGGAGCGAACAGGAUUAGAUACCCUGGUAGUCCACGCCGUAAACGAUGAGUGCUAAGUGUUAGGGGGUUUCCGCCCCUUAGUGCUGCAGCUAACGCAUUAAGCACUCCGCCUGGGGAGUACGGUCGCAAGACUGAAACUCAAAGGAAUUGACGGGGGCCCGCACAAGCGGUGGAGCAUGUGGUUUAAUUCGAAGCAACGCGAAGAACCUUACCAGGUCUUGACAUCCUCUGACAACCCUAGAGAUAGGGCUUUCCCUUCGGGGACAGAGUGACAGGUGGUGCAUGGUUGUCGUCAGCUCGUGUCGUGAGAUGUUGGGGUUAAGUCCCGCAACGAGCGCAACCCUUGAUCUUAGUUGCCAGCAUUUAGUUGGGC